GGCUCUAGCGGAGGACUCAGGGUCAGCCUCCCGACCGAGUUUAUCGUACCAUGUUGCUUCGGCGGGCCCACCUCACGGCCGCCGGGGGGCUUCUGCCCUCGGGCCCGCGCCCGCCGAAGACACCAUUGAACGCUGUCUGAAGAUUGCAGUCUGAGCAAUUAGCUAAAUAAGUUAAAACUUUCAACAACGGAUCUCUUGGUUCCGGCAUCGAUGAAGAACGCAGCGAAAUGCGAUACGUAAUGUGAAUUGCAGAAUUCAGUGAAUCAUCGAGUCUUUGAACGCACAUUGCGCCCCCUGGUAUUCCGGGGGGCAUGCCUGUCCGAGCGUCAUUGCUGCCCUCAAGCACGGCUUGUGUGUUGGGCCUCCGUCCUCCUCCCGGGGGACGGGCCCGAAAGGCAGCGGCGGCACCGCGUCCGGUCCUCGAGCGUAUGGGGCUUCGUCACCCGCUCUUGUAGGCCCGGCCGGCGCUUGCCGACACAUCAAUCUUUUUUUCCAGGUUGACCUCGGAUCAGGUAGGGAUACCCGCUGAACUUAAGCAUAUCAAUAAGCGGAGGAAA
rnacentral:rRNA from 1 species